GAUGAACGCUGGCGGCGUGCUUAAUACAUGCAAGUCGAACGGACAGGCGCUGCGCUUGUGGGGUGCUCGAGUGGCGAACGGGGGAGUAACACGCGUGUAACCUGCCCUUGACUGUGGGAUAACUUCAGGAAACUGGGGCUAAUACCGGAUAGGAGCUCUUGCUGCACGGUGGGGGAUGGAAAGUUUCGGCGGUUUGGGAUGGACUCGCGGCAUAUCAGCUUGUUGGGGGGGUAGUGGCUUCCCAAGGCUAUGACGGGUAGCCGGCCUGAGAGGGUGGCCAGCCACAAUGGGCCUGAGGUACGGAGCAGUCUCCUACGGGCGGCAGCAGUGGAGAGUCUUGCGCAGUGGGCGCACGCGUGUUGCAGCGACGCCGCGUUCGUGAUGACGUCCUACGGGUUGUGAACAGAUUUGGACUGUGCUGAAGAGUGCGUGACGGUAAUGGGUAAGAAAGCCCCGGCUAACUACGUG
rnacentral:rRNA from 1 species